CAGUUGAAGAAGCUGUCGGGAGGGAGGGGAGAACUCAAGGGCUGCGUGUUUCAGCCGAAUCAGAGAUUGCAUGCAAAGUGAACAAUUGGUUACAAAGAAAGUUAAACAGGAACAAAUUCCGUUGUCAAUAUUUUCUCAACUUGCCCUCCAAAAGAAAGAAAUUAUAUCUCAAUGUUCUCCAAACAAACGAGAAAGAAAUAACUACUUUAAGCAAUGGAAUGUAAUGUAUGCAACUAAUAGAGAGUUAUUUCUGGAUAUUAACACCAGUGGAGGUUGACUGGUUUGGCUGAAUUUCUGAAUCUUAGAUUUUGCUCUUCAUUUUAAAUGUAGGGUCAACAUGAUGGUGAUAGCAGCUCUCACUUCUGAAGUGGAACAAGCAUCAUUCAUGAGACUUCAGCACAGAAUCUAGGCUUAGAUCUGCAGGAGUCCUGCACUGCCUGAGAUACUAGAGGUGGUGAUAAAACCCAAGCUGUUAUCAGGCAACUGAACCAUCCAACCAACAACUAGAUAGUGGUCUCCAGCUACUAUCUACCUCAUUGAUGAUCCUCAAACUAUCUUUGACUGGACGUCACUGGACUUUAUCUUGCAUUAAGCGUUAUUCCUUGAAUCAUGUAUCUGUACACUGUGGACAGCUCGUUUGUAAUCAUGUAUAGUCUUUCCACUGACUGGUUAACACGCAUCAGAAAGCUUUUCACUGUACCUUGGUACACUUGACAAUAAACUAAACUAAACUC